rnacentral:tRNA from 1 species
GCCAUGCUAGCUCAGUUGGUAAAGCAUGAGAUUCUUAAUCCCAAGGCUGUGGGUUUGUGCCCCAUGCAGCU